GACGAACGCUGGCGGCGUGCCUAACACAUGCAAGUCGAGCGAAGUGGGUACUACGGUACGAACUUAGCGGCGGACGGGUGAGUAACGCGUGGACAAUCUACCCUGUAGACUGGGAUAACACCUCGAAAGGGGUGCUAAUACCGGAUAAUGUCGAGAAGCGGCAUCGCUUUUCGAAGAAAGGAGAGAAUCCGCUAUAGGAGGAGUCCGCGUCCCAUUAGCUAGUUGGUGAGGGUAACGGCCCACCAAGGCGACGAUGGGUAGCCGGCCUGAGAGGGUGAACGGCCACACUGGAACUGAGACACGGUCCAGACUCCUACGGGAGGCAGCAGUGGGGAAUGUUGUGCAAUGGGGGAAACCCUGACACAGCAACGCCGCGUGAGCGAAGAAGGCCUUCGGGUUGUAAGGCUCAAUAGUAUGGGAAGAUAAUGACGGUACCAUACGAAAGCCCCGGCUAACUACGUGCCAGCCGCCGCGGUAAUAC
rnacentral:rRNA from 1 species